CCACCUGUAAAGCCAUGUCGAGAUUCCCCUGUGUGACUUUGUUUCCGGAUCUAAGAGCUUGAAGUGUUGAGUUCCCUCUCAAUCUGCUCUUAUCGGCGUGAUUCUUCAUCAUUGACACCUCAAAGGAUCUCCUCUUAUAUUUGCUCAGUGGCCGAGCAGGUAUAUUCAUUUUGAACAAAGUUGCAAUCAUUUCUCUUGUUAUGGUUUUUAUUAUAUGUAAAGAAAUAGGUAUAGAAAAAAGGUCGUGAUUAUUUAAAAAUUGGCAUCUAAUGAGUUUGUUUUCAUGAUCUGGGUCUAAUCUUUGUUGAUUGAAAUGAUCCAAACAAGUCGCACUUGAAAUCUCAUACGUGAGUCCCCUUUAGCUGAGAAUCGCUUCACCUAUUUGAUAAUUGCAUGAACCAAGCUUGAUUGUGAACCACCAUCCUCUUAUCAUCCCGCCACUGCUGAGGCUGAAUCUAAGUGUGCUUUUGUUAUGCGUUCCCUGCACAUUAUUGCUCUAUUCUGUUAAUCCGAGUCCAUGGGUUGAUGUUUAGGCUUGAACGAAAGUCGAACCAUAAUUAAGGAUCGGUUAGUAGUAUAAAUUCUUGAAUCUCAUUUGUUCGGAUUGAGAUAAGCACUUCGUUAAUGUCUCUAUUUUCUUUGAUUUUCCUGCGGUGAGCUCCUUCUUUCCUCCACCACGGGCAAACUUCUAACUCCAUCGAUGCUACUUUCAGCAUCACAACUGCUCAUCUUCCAUCCGACACCACGAAGCUCUGACAAAAUGGAAGAUCGACGCCUGCCGACGGAGGUGAUGAACAGAAGAAGUUUGUCUCCCUCAAACAGAGUCCCCAACGAACCGACAGUGAUUGAGGCGGGCCAACGGAGGCGACAGACUACCGCCGUGGACCGAAGCCAUGGAAGCUGGUGACGUAGCUUUGGGUGAACAAUUCUCUCCAGAGGGUCUGGGCCUCAUGUAACUUGCUAUAGAACAGCACCGGGAGGAGUUGGCUUUGGCGGAGAGAACGCAGGAUCGUUGUCACACGGGGAGCACAAGAACACCGUCAUCCAAACUGGUACAUUGCCAUUGCCGCCGCUCGUUAACAAUGUGAGGCCAUGACGUGCGAUUGCCAUCUACUGUGCUAGAGCUUGUGAUUAUCUCUUUCACUAUCCCCGAACUUCGCAUGAGGUUGUCACCUCGAGUCUGAUGUCUCCGCCUCAGCUAGCCCCAGAGAGAGAUGGCAAUGGAGGUGGUAGUCGCCUGGGUGGUUGAUGGUGGUGGAGAUGUAAAACUUCCUUGGUUGGCGCCGGUGGUCGCGUUGGCUCAUAGCUGUCAAAAGUCCACUCUCUUACCGUAUACAUGUGUAGAUUUAUAGUUACCAGAGAAGUUUCUAAGUUUUCACUUAUUUCUCAAUACAAUUUGUAAUUCUCAAAAAAUCAGUUCAUAGUAACUUUGAAUGAAAUGUUAGUUUCGCUGUUUUUGCAGGA